UACGGAGGGUGCAAACGUUGUUCGGAAUCACUGGGCAUAAAGAGCACGUAGGCGGCCUGCUAAGUCAGGUGUGAAAUCCCCCGGCUCAACCGGGGAAUAGCAUUUGAUACUGGCGGGCUCGAGGACGGUAGGGGUGAGUGGAACUCCAGGUGGAGCGGUGAAAUGCGUAGAUAUCUGGAGGAACACCAGUGGCGAAAGCGGCUCACUGGACCGUCUCUGACGCUGAGGUGCGAAAGCUAGGGUAGCGAAC
rnacentral:rRNA from 1 species